ACCCUUCCCCCACCAAUACAAGCCCUUGCUGCUGAGAGUGGCGGGGAAAGCGGUGCUGCGAUUGGCCCCGUGCCGGGGGUCGCGGGGGUCACCGCCUGGCUGUCUUCAGGCCCUGCUUCUCCAUGAUGUUGCGGAGCUUGCGCAGGUUGGCCUGGGUGACGGCGUCGUCGGGGCUGAGCUGCAGCGCCUGCAGGUGGCCCGAAUACCUGCGUGGGAACCCGAGCAGAACUGAAGUAAAGUGCCGAAUCGGAGCGAAGCUCGGGGCUCGAGCUGAGAGGCUAUCGAUGGCCUUGAGAAAGUACUGCUCUGCUUCCUGCUUGCGUCCCUGGAGAUGAACAGAGCUUUAUUGGGGUGACAUUAGCUCAGGACAGCGGCCGUC